CUUAGUAAUUGUUUAAUCGUGGCAAAGUUAGAACGUUAUCUGGUAGUUUUACUCAUGCAAGUCGAAUGGUAUUUUAAAAUAUCAUGGCGUACAGGCGAGGAUAAAUAAGUACAUACCUUUAGUAGAUGAUAGAAACAUCUAAUAGUUAUUAGAUCUUAUUAUUACUGCGUUUGUAAUAAGAUCAAGAUUUAAUAAUAAUAAAGGAAUUUUUCCGACUAAAGAUUGGCUUUAUAUCUAGCAGGUAGUUGGAGUGGUAAAGGCGCUCCAAGCCUAUGACGGAUAGGAAAUAGCGAAAGCUUCAAUUCCCGCAAUUGGUUUGAGAAUAGCCGAUCGUGUCUUUAAGACAUGCUGCAGAGGAGGAUCUUGGGCAAUGCUCGAAAGAGUGACCCAGCUAACCAGAACUCGAAAGAGUGUCGUAAGGGAGGAUAAUGACGUUACCUUACUAAUAGUCCAAUCUAAGUCUCGUGCCAGCAGACGCGGUUAUACGAACUGGGCAAACGUUUAAUAAAUGAAUAGGUAUUAAGGAUCCGUAGGCGGUUUCUGAUAAAGAAACUAGAAUCUAAUAGAGGAUAGUGGAAUGCUAGGAGGAGGGAUGAUAUCCAUUGAUAUCUAGUGGAACACUAAAGGCGAAAGCAGCUAUCCAGCUAAAGAUUGACGCUCAGGGAUGAAAGUCUGGGGAGCAAAACAGAUUAGAUACCUGUGUAGUCCAGACCGUAAACUAUUUACAUUUCUUAUUUGGCUUAAAUAAAAUAUUCAUUAUUUGGAAGCGCGAAACGCGAAGCGCAAGAAAAUAAAAUGCUUUUAUUUGUUAUGUCAGAUAAGCAGCAAACCGCUGUAUGUGUAACACCUUGUAAGUACAGUCCCACGACCGAAAGCAAAAAGAUUAGACCAUCCUAAAGACCCGGAGUGGAGCAUGUUGUUUAAUACGAUAAUCCGCGUAGAACCUUACCUCUCCUUGAAUGGCUUACAUAACUUUCUUUGUAAGAUCACAGGCGUUGCAUGGCUGUCGGCAGUUCGUGUCGUAAGAUGUCAGGUUGAGUCCGCCAACGAACGCAAUCCCUAUAAAAAGUUGUUAUCAGUUAUUAUACUUUACUUUUUAUUUGCAUUCAAUAAGAAGCAUUUUGGGAAUACGACAAGCCUUCAUGACCCUUAUGGAGUAUGGGCUACAGACGUGCUACUUGAACCUAACAAACUGAUGCAAUACCGUAAGGUAGAGCUAACCAGUAAAAUAUGGUGAUACUAGGAUCGUAGUCUGAAAUUCGAUUACGUGAAUCAGGAAUUCCGAGUAAUCGUUGAUAAGUACGCAACGGUGAACUUUUACAUUUGGGAGAUACUAACCGUCUAUCAAGUGUUGGUCGUUUAUCAAGCUAUGAACUAGUGUUUACUUUGAUCUUCUAAAUGGAGUAUCCAAUCUAUUUACUACUACUUUAUUUAUUUAGUAAUUGUAUAUAGAUAAGUAUUCUUUUCAAGUAUUACUUAUACUCUGUCUAGAGUUUCUAUAGCGAACACAUGGAAUAGUUUAGAACUCCUAACGCUAAGUUAUAGCAAGGUAGCCGUAAGGGAACUUGUGGCUGAUGGAUACUAUUC
rfam:Pseudozyma brasiliensis GHG001 unplaced genomic scaffold PSETBRA_SCAF26, whole genome shotgun sequence.